UCCCUGGAGGACUAGUGGUUAGGCCUUGGUGCCCUCACUGCUGUUGUCCGGGUUCGAUUCCCAGGCCAGGGAA
rnacentral:tRNA from 1 species